rnacentral:rRNA from 1 species
CCUACGGGAGGCAGCAGUGAGGAAUAUUGGUCAAUGACCGGAAGGCUGAACCAGCCAAGCCGCGUGAAGGACGAAGGUGCCAAGCAUUGUAAACUUCUUUUGUCAAGGGACAAAAUCAGGCUCGAGAGCCUGACCGCGGGUACUUGAAGAAAAAGCAUCGGCUAACUCCGUGCCAGCAGCCGCGGUAAUACGGAGGAUGCGAGCGUUAUCCGGAUUUAUUGGGUUUAAAGGGUGCGUAGAUGGGUUGUUAAGUCAGUUGUGAAAGUUUGCGGCUCAACCGUAAAAUUGCAAUUGAUACUGGCAGACUUGAGUACAGUUGAGGUAGGCGGAAUUCGUGGUGUAGCGGUGAAAUGCUUAGAUAUCACGAAGAACUCCGAUUGCGAAGGCAGCUUACUAAACUGCAACUGACAUUGAUGCUCGAAAGUGUGGGUAUCAAACAGGAUUAGAUACCCUAGUAGUC